ACAACUCCCAUGAUCCCAGGCUACUUCACAACGUCACCAAACUUUGUCUUUUGUUUUCCCUAGCGGCAGAAAUUACUUAUAUAUGCAUUUAAGAAUCAAUAAUAACAAAUCAGUCCUGCUGGUAAAUAACAACAUAACACUGACAGGGUCCAGUCUGCAUAAUGAGUACUUUUACUUUACAAACACUGAAUUAAUGCUGAAUUUGCAAGCUAUUUCCUGCCUGUUUUUGGACCGUGGUUGGUGAGGGCUGUCGUGAAAACGUGAUCUGACCUUUGACCUUUUCUGUGUCCUUGUCAGCACCAGCAGCCAACUGAUAAUGGACCUCACAGAAUCACUAAAAGCAGGUCAGCGGGAGGUCAGCUCUCCUCGUCUGGUCUCCACGACAGCAGAACCCACUCUUCCUCCAAGUUUGGCGGCCGUCCUCUGUUCUCCAAACCGGGCCGAGAGCGAGACCGGGAGCGGGAGCACCGGGAGCGGCUGGCCCAGUCGUCCAGGCUGUUCUGCCGACCCGAACACAGAGACGACAUCUGGAACCACCAGCGCCGCCGGUCCGCCGGGUACGAGGCAUAGAACUGUAGAGAAACACCAGGGAGAGGGGGUGUCAAAGGGUCAAACUUUAUAUAAGCGAUGACUUUAUUCCAGUGUGUUAACCUAUGGAAAAGUACUGCGAGCUCACAUUCACAUCCAGCUUCUUUAGAGCAGUUAACUCGGAGGUGUUUCCUGCUUCUGUAUAAUCAUUUAAAACAAUACACUGCGGUUAAUGUAAAUCUCGACUGAUGCUCUUAUACAGCUAGAAGAGUGCAGACAAACCUUUAUGCUUAAAUCAUUUGUUGUUUUGACUAAAAUGUCUAACUUUUCUGGACGGCAAUAACUUCUGAGUCAUGGGUUACCGGUUGGUGACAUUUUUGAAAUGGCAUUUUUCAAUUUCUUAGUAGGUGAUGAUUAAAGCAGAAACAGGAAGUAGUUGUUUAUAAAAUCUUAUUUUGACAUGAAAAUGUUUGAACCUCUGUAAAUUUAGACUAAAUGUAAGUGAGUUUCCUGCAUAUAUUGUGCAGGAGGGUAUAAACCUAGAAACUUGAUUGGCAAAUUGUAUUCGUUAUUAGUUAAGAAUGAAAAGAAUCCAACACAUUUUAGUUUUUAAAAAAGGGUUUUUUUUUGCAGAAUUUCCUAGAAACUUUGCAUAUUAUGUGAAAUAAUUUUACAAAUGUUAAAUUAAAUGUUUGUAUAGCAUUGUAUAGCUGAAUUAUGCUUCCAUAGCAAUUUGUAUGAAAUUAUUUUUAUAAAUCAAAGUAACAAAACCAUAGAACAUAAGAGACGAGAUUACACUAAAGUAUAAAUCAAUAACUCUUUUAUGUCGGCUGCAGAUCCCAAUGAGAAUGACUACAAACACUAAUGCAAAAGUAAUUUUUCCAAUAGCUUCAAAUUGAAGAAAUCACAUUACACUUUACAGUAACUAUUACUGCAUAACAGGGUUUAAGAACAUAAUAAUGCAAUAACAAAUAUUAAUGCAUGACCAUAGUGGUGUCGCAUUGUAUUGAAGAUUUUGUAUUGGUAACGCUGUGUUAUUGCAUAUAACACAGUUCUUUUCCAUAGAUUACCAUACUGCAAUAGACCAUUAUAAAGGUACUAGGUGCUUUUUCGGGAUGUAAACAUUCAGUAUUCAAACAUAUAAAUGAAUGAUAGCUUCUCGUCUUUUGUUUCAUUUGUUAGCACAAAUCAUAAUAUUUAGUAAAGUAUAACAGGUAAUCUCAGUCUUUAGUGAUACUUCCAUUCUGAAUCAUCUCUGUAUUUUAGAGAAACUUCAGGUAAAAAUGUGCUUUUGUAUUCAUCUACUGAUUUGAUUACAGUUGAGGUCAGAUCAUGGAAGCAAGUUGAAUUUUGAAGAGAGUCUUCUUACUGAAUCUGAUGGAAUGAGGAUAAACAGUGAUGUUGAUGACACGUCCUCUCCUCUGGUUGAACCUUUACAUCCCGGCCCGGUUCCCAAAAAGUCCACAUCAGUCCAGUUAUCUUGACUCUGUCUGUGCUUUGAAGGCCAAACGGCAGCGAUCACUGCCUGCGAUCAUCUUGAUAGCUGACGUAGGUCGUCAAUCGACUGUUCGCUGAAACCUUCCACCAAACAGGCACUGUCCAAUCCUAGCUUAGCAACCAGAGCUAAGCCUUGAAUUUUUUAAAAACCUUUUCUUUUGUGAAAAGAAAAGUGUGGAAGUAAGUUCAUAAGCUAACAGUGUUAGCUUUAGCCCCAGUCUUUCAGCAUGCAUGUAGCCAUCAAGCGCCUAUUAAAACGAGUCAGUUUGAAGCAUUAAAAAGUCAGCCGGAGACUGCGGUUUCAACCAACUCAUGGAGUCAAAGUUAGCUUAAUUAGCUUGCUAGCUGCAGCUGAUCAAAUCUGCCAGCAACAGUGUCAUUUAACCGACAAAAUCACCAUUUCCCAGUAAGAAAUGAAGAGCCUGCUCUUGUCUACCUCUGUCUGAAAUCAUGAACCCAUUGUUUGGAAACAAAUUUUGAAUGGUAAAUCUGUCCUUGGUGUCCUUGGUGUCCUUGUAAGCUCCAUAUAUACUGCACAAAUAUCUAACCUGCACUAUCUGCACCCCCACCAGCAAGACCUGUAGGGGCGGUUACAGGGUUCAUCCUCACAGAUGGAGUCUGUUCCUCUUAGAAGGUCAGGCAGACGCUUCUGUAUCCACUAGACUCUCUCUUAAGACUCCCAGUUUUUUGCAGCUGUAUAGCAUUUUUUGAUUCAAAUUUGGUCCCACUGCGAGGGGGAAGCCAUGGUCAUAUUUGGGUGCUUCUGUUCCCAUCAGAAAUGCAUUAUCUGGCCAAUGAUAAUAGUGAAAUAGUUUAGUUAUAAUUGAUUUAGAUUCGAAUUUCAUAACAGAUAACAAACAAAACUGUCGGUCCCAUCCUCCACUCAUACUGUCUUUCAUACUUUUGAAGCAGUAGCUCUAAUUGUUAUUAAUUGCUGUAGAUAUAAUGGUAAUGAAUAAUCUCAUCCAUUAAAAACAUUUUAUUUUGAUUGAGUUGUUGUUACGUUCUGCCCUCACAGCUCUGGUUUGGUUCGUAAAGCACAGACAGGAGUUUGAUGACACCAGACCUGAGUCAAAUAACCUUUGCAUAUAAUUCUUGGCUUUAGUUUGAGUAGGUUUCACUACAUUAGGAUCCAGAUACUGUCCGCUGUUUGUACAUAGAGAGGAACGUUAGAUAUAUUGACUUGGAAAUACUUUAUUGUGAUUUUUACUUUUUCGGGCAGUCUUGGUCUUAUGUAGCCAAUCAGCCACCAAUCUGCUACCAAAGCAGUAUUAAACCAGGGAUGUUGUUGAGGGUAAUCCCAGAUCAGGUGUACACAUUUGUUUUUGUUAUGUAGAAUAUGGCACCUUUUUUUUUUUUUUUUUUUAAGGAAGAGUGCAACAUUUUUGGGAGGUAAGCUUGUUUUCUGUCAGAUGAGAAGAUGGAUAUCAGAUUUAUCUCUGUCCAGUAUGUGUGUUAGCCUAGCUUAGCACAAAGACUGGAGAGCAGGGACAACUGCUUGAUUGGAGGUGAAAACAUAAACACCAAAUACUCACUAGAGCAACAAAUGUGGAUUCAUCCACUGCUGAAAAUAGUCCCCAACAAACACACUAUUUCCUCCUGUCUGUUAGAAACUACAGUGAGCAGCUUUUAGGAAAUUACUGAGCCUUUUUUAUUCAUGAAACUAUAUGUUUGAGAGGUGUUCUUUAAAGUUUCUCAACUCCAACCAGCAGGCUUGAAUCUGAGAGCCACAGACAGGAAGUCAGAAAGUAUUGAGAAAGGGUCUUUUUGUGGAAUUUGUUGACAAUAACAAAAACAUAGAAUUACAUCAGACAUAUUCUUUCAUUAUACAGCAUGUCAAUAAAACAGGUUUGGAGUUAUUUGGAAGGUGAGCUUUUUCACUUUUGGUGGAGCCAGGCAGGUUGCCCUGCUUCCAGUCUUUGGAAAACUGCAUAUUUUACCCUCCACUGCAUCACCGGAUAAAACCAGCCACAUACAUGCAGGUUCAGUUUGGCCCAGGUCUGGAGGACCCCACACAUAUAACGAAUGUACUCUUGAGUUAACGUAUAGCUCACACUGAAGAGAUGCCAUGUUUUAAGACCUAACUUUUGUCUCGUCGUUCAGGCUUAAACUGGCACUCAUUCACACAGAAACGGGUGGAGAUUCUCCGAUCACAAAUAUAUGACGCCGUAUCAACGCUUUCAUCCAAAGUGACUUACAGUGCCGUGAAUGCAUACAGUACCUUUGCAGUAUACUAAACAGCUCAUGGCGGCUUGUUUAAUAGAAUCAUUCCUGUCUCUGCAUCAUUCUGUACGAUCUGUUUACACGUCAUUUUUGCACUCAUCCAAUGAUAAGAAUGUAUAUGUAAAAAGACGGUAUUCGGUGUAAAAUGUAUCUUUGCUGUCGGUGGUUUAGGUUUUGUUGACAGUGUUGAUAGAUAUUUUGUAUACAAAGCUAUUAUGUGUCGUCAAGUGGAAGUAGUAGUCCUACAGUACUUUAACUUGGCAGGACAUUUAUCUGGGUCACAAACACAAAUCAAGUCUUUUUACUUUUCAACAGGGUGACUGACUGCAGGUCCUAGAAAGGUCCCUGAAAUGAUGCUAUGUAUGUAUUAUAUUAUAUAUUGUGUUGUUUUUUUAUAUAGUUGUUUCAAGUUAGUUGAUUUUAGUGAUUUAAAUAGUCAAGUUUAUAAUUGGCAUCAAUAAGUUCAUAAUUAAAUCUUAGUGAAGAGAGCUUUCCGACACCUUUUCAAAGACCUGACUAGCAGUUGUGUCAAUUAUGAUUUAUUCCAAAGUUAUUGGAAGUUGCCAAUUUUUAAGCCAAUCGUUUUCCUGUAUUUUAUUUCAUCAGUUGAACAAACCCGAUCAGAUCUGUAACAGUUUCAGUGAAUACCUGAUUCUGUUUUACAGGCUAAAAAGCAUUUGCCUCCUGUCGUUUUGAUGGCUUCAUGGUAAACGUGAAUUUUGUCACGUUUACUCUCUACUGCUUUUUACCACUUAAAAACACGAUCCAGAUAAAUUUGGACAAACUGCCCACUGAGUAUUCCAGAGAUCCACAUGUGAUCAGACCUCUGAGUCCUUUAGCACUUUGUGAGUUUUGGCACUGGUGAGCGUUACUGCUGCUGUCAACUAAAAACCCUGUUUGUUUAUGGCUCAACAAUAAGGAUUGCCCGGGGCUAGUAUAUCUAGCAACUCGCUUGCCCAAAAAAAGACACAGUUUUCAAGUGUGCAUGUGGGCCACUUGUCUGACCUGGCAAGUAAAGAAAAACAUUAACGCUGAACCUUGUUGUCUUUGGCUUUCAGUAAUUGAAAGAACCAAGAACUGAUAUACGUAUAAUAUCAACAGCAUGAAAGCUUUUGGGCCCUGAGUCUCAAACCCUGAUCGAUCAAUGAUCCCACCAACAAUCAGAUUGUGGUUUUUAUGCGAACAGCAGCAUGACUGUUGAAAGAUGUGCGUGUGUGUUUGGAGGAGUGUGCGCAGUGCUUCAGGUUUGUCUCUGUUGUACUGCUUCCUGUUGUAUGUCAUUGGAAGGUGGUGGAAGAUGCAUGAGACAGCCCUACUACUACUACUACAUAUGUAGCUAUUGUGUUACUGUGAAAGCAUGCUUCAUAUGUAGCAAAAAAAAAGUACUUAUAAAAUACUGUUAUCUUGUACUACUAUGUGUACUUUUGUAGCAGAGCGAGGUCUAUUUUAUUGGUACAGUCUUUGAAGGAAAGUUGCACUAAACCAACCCAGAGCACUUGGAGCUCGGAUCUGUCGGAUUUCAUAUGAAGGGAGUGUUGUAUAUUGGACAAUCAGCAGGGUUAAUGCACAGGUCUGGAAAAUAAAUUUAAUUACUUCUGUGUUUUGAAAUGUUUUGGGAAAAUGUGCAAGAGCUCUGAGACGGAGAGAGAAAAAAAGCUUGAGAAGUGGGUGAAAGCAUAACCGAACAAGUAUUCUAACUGUUAGUUUGAUUAUGACACUACUACCUUUCUUGCCGUGAGUCGGUAGAGAUAAAGUUAGUUUUAUGUUGUGUAAAACCAAGUUUGAUAUCCUUGGGUUCAUCAUGUUUGUCUGUAGGGAUUUCGUUUGCAGAAGUAAUCUCUAGUUUUGUGCCUUCACUCAAAAACUCUGUAGUCUGUAUAACACUGUGCAAAAUGCAAUACUGUGAAGAACUGGAAUACUUUUUAUGUUGAAACUUGUCGGUCUGUGUGAUAACCAUUGAAGAUUAAAGAACAAACAUGACACCAA